rnacentral:rRNA from 1 species
GGUCAAGCUACAAAGGGCGCAUGGUGAAUGCCUUGGCAUCAGGAGCCGAUGAAGGACGCGAUAAGCUGCGAUAAGCUUCGGGUAGACGCACAUAGUCAGAGAUCCGAAGAUUUCCGAAUGAGGAAACUCACAUGGGAAACCCCAUGUAUCAUAAAGUGAAUACAUAGCUUUAUGAAGGUAAACCCAGGGAACUGAAACAUCUAAGUACCUGGAGGAAGAGAAAGAAAAAUCGAUUUUCUUAGUAGCGGCGAGCGAAAAGGAAAGAGCCCAAACCAGAGAUUUAUCUCUGGGGUUGCGGACAGAACAUAACGAGAAGUCAUAGUUAACCGAACACAACUGGAAAGUUGGACCGCAGGGGGUAAUAGUCCCGUAAGUGAAAAUUAUGAUAAUCAGUUCUGCACCAGAGUACCACGAGACACGUGAAACCUUGUGGGAAGCAGGGAGGACCACCUCCCAAGGCUAAAUACUACCUGAUGACCGAUAGUGAAGCAGUACCGUGAGGGAAAGGUGAAAAGAACCCCGGGAGGGGAGUGAAAUAGAACCUGAAACCAUGUGCCUACAACCGAUCAAAGCACCUUAUGUGUGUGAUGAUGUGCUUUUUGUAGAACGAGCCAACGAGUUACGGUAUGUAGCGAGGUUAAGUACUUAAGGUACGGAGCCGAAGGGAAACCGAGUCUUAAUAGGGCGACUAGUUGCAUGCUGUAGACCCGAAACCGGGUGACCUAUCCAUGGCCAGGUUGAAGCGAGGGUAAAACCUCGUGGAGGACCGAACCACGUUGCUGUUGAAAAAGCAUGGGAUGAGCUGUGGAUAGCGGAGAAAUUCCAAUCGAACUCGGAUAUAGCUGGUUCUCCUCGAAAUAGCUUUAGGGCUAGCGUCGGAAAAUGUGAGUAGUGGAGGUAGAGCACUGAAUAGGCUAGGGGGCAUAGCGCUUACCGAACCUUAUCAAACUCCGAAUGCCAUAUACUAUCAGUCCGGCAGUCAGACUAUGAAAGAUAAGUUCCAUGGUCAAAAGGGAAACAGCCCAGAUCGUCAGCUAAGGUCCCAAAGUGUAAGUUAAGUGGAAAAGGAUGUGGGAUUUCUAAGACAACUAGGAUGUUGGCUUAGAAGCAGCCACUCAUUAAAAGAGUGCGUAAUAGCUCACUAGUCAAGAGAUCCUGCGCCGAAAAUGUCCGGGGCUCAAACUUACCACCGAAGCUACGGGUUCACAAUUUAUUGUGAGCGGUAGAGGAGCGUCGUAAUCGGGCUGAAGUCGUACCGAAAGGAGCGGUGGACUGAUUACGAGUGAGAAUGUUGGCAUUAGUAGCGAGAUGUAGGUGAGAAUCCUACAGGCCGAAUAUCUAAGGUUUCCUGAGUAAAGUUUGUCUUCUCAGGGUUAGUCGGGACCUAAGGCGAGGCCGAAAGGCGUAGUCGAUGGACAAUUGGUUGAUAUUCCAAUACCACUAUAAUCGUUAUUAUCGAUGGUGUGACGGAGAAGGAUAGGAUGUGCUAACUAUUGGAUGUUAGUCUAAGCGUUUAGGGAGUUAGGAUAGGCAAAUCCGUUUCUAACAAUUCUGAGGCGUGAUGGGGAAGGUUCUACGGAACCGAAGUAUCUGAUUCCAUGCUUCCAAGAAAAGCAUCUAGAGAGAGAAGUAGUGCCCGUACCGCAAACCGACACAGGUAGAUGAGGAGAGAAUCCUAAGGCCGACGGAAGAAUUGCAGUUAAGGAACUAGGCAAAUUGACCCCGUAACUUCGGGAGAAGGGGUGCCUGCUUUACGGCAGGCCGCAGAGAAUAGGCACAAGCAACUGUUUAACAAAACACAGGUCUCUGCUAAAGCGAAAGCUGAUGUAUAGGGGCUGACGCCUGCCCGGUGCUGGAAGGUUAAGGGGAACACUUAGCGUAAGCGAAGGUGUGAACUUAAGCCCCAGUAAACGGCGGCCGUAACUAUAAACGGUCCUAAGGUAGCGAAAUUCCUUGUCAGGUAAGUUCUGACCCGCACGAAUGGCGUAAUGACUUGUGCACUGUCUCAACUGCAAAUCCGGCGAAGUUGUAGUGCGAGUGAAGAUGCUCGCUACCCGCGAUUGGACGGAAAGACCCGUAGAGCUUUACUGUAGCUUAGCAUUGAAUUUCGGUAUUGUCUGUACAGGAUAGGUGGGAGACUGGGAAACUAGGGCGUCAGCCUUAGUGGAGUCGUUGUUGGGAUACCACCCUGAUAGUAUUGAAAUUCUAACUGGAUGCCAUGAAACUGGUGACAGGACAUUGUUAGGUGGGCAGUUUGACUGGGGCGGUCGCCUCCUAAAAUGUAACGGAGGCGCCCAAAGGUUCCCUCAGAACGGUCGGAAAUCGUUCGAAGAGUGCAAAGGCAGAAGGGAGCCUGACUGCGACACCUACAAGUGGAGCAGGGACGAAAGUCGGGCUUAGUGAUCCGGUGGUACCUCGUGGGAGGGCCAUCGCUCAACGGAUAAAAGCUACCUCGGGGAUAACAGGCUGAUCUCCCCCAAGAGUUCACAUCGACGGGGAGGUUUUGGCACCUCGAUGUCGGCUCGUCGCAUCCUGGGGCUGAAGUAGGUCCCCAAGGGUUGGGCUGUUUCGCCCAUUAAAGCGGCACGCGAGCUGGGUUCAGAACGUCCGUGAGACAGUUCGGUCCCUAUCCGUUCGCGGGCGUAGGAAAUUUGAGAGGAGCUGUCCUUAGUACGAGAGGACCGGGAUGGACUGACCCUAUGGUGUACCAGUUGUUUCGCCAGAAGCCAUAGCUGGGUAGCUAAGUCGGGAAGGGAUAAACGCUGAAAGCAUCUAAGUGUGAAGCCCACCUCAAGAUGAGAUUUUCCCAUAGCAUAAGCUAGUAAGACCCCUUGAAGACUACAAGGUUUGAUAGGUCAGAGGUGUAAGUGCGGCAACGUAUUUAGCUGACUGAUACUAAUAGGUCGAGGGCUUGACCAA